AUGAGUUCGGGGGCCUAGCCCCCAGCGGCGAGUGUCGUUUGAGUCCCCCAGGACUCAACGGCGGUCGUCGUGUUUCUCAACCCCAUGUUUACCAUACCUUUGUUGCUUUGGCGGGCCUUGAGUAGGCUAUACGGCUCAUGUCGGCCUCAAGCUUUAUUGCUUGGGGGCGGCUCGCGCCCGCCAGAGGUUUAAUCAAAUCCUAUUUAUAAGUGAUGUCUGAGUAAUUAUUAAAUAAUCAAAACUUUCAACAACGGAUCUCUUGGUUCUGGCAUCGAUGAAGAACGCAGCGAAAUGCGAUAAGUAAUGUGAAUUGCAGAAUUCAGUGAAUCAUCGAAUCUUUGAACGCACAUUGCGCCCCUCGGUAUUCCGGGGGGCAUGCCUGUUCGAGCGUCAUUACACCCCUCAAGCGUAGCUUGGUAUUGGACAACCGCGGGCCCUUUUACAAGGGCUUGCAGGUCCGAAAAAUAGUGGCGGUCCCCGAGGAUUUCGCGCGUAGUAAAUAUUAUCCCGCGUUGGAAAGAAUCGGUGGGCUUGCCAAAACCCCCCAUAAUCUCUAUGAAUUGACCUCGGAUCAGGUAGGGAUACCCGCUGAACUUAAGCAUAUCAAUAA
rnacentral:rRNA from 1 species